UAGGGAAUCUUCCGCAAUGGACGCAAGUCUGACGGAGCAACGCCGCGUGAGUGAAGAAGGUUUUCGGAUCGUAAAGCUCUGUUGCCAGGGAAGAACGGAUGAAGGAGUAACUGCCUUUGUCAUGACGGUACCUGAGAAGAAAGCCCCGGCUAACUACGUGCCAGCAGCCGCGGUAAUACGUAGGGGGCAAGCGUUGUCCGGAAUUAUUGGGCGUAAAGCGCGCGCAGGCGGCCUUGUAAGUCUGGUGUUUAAGCUCGGGGCUCAACCCCGAUACGCACCGGAAACUGCAAAGCUUGAGUGCAGAAGAGGAAAGUGGAAUUCCACGUGUAGCGGUGAAAUGCGUAGAGAUGUGGAGGAACACCAGUGGCGAAGGCGACUUUCUGGGCUGUAACUGACGCUGAGGCGCGAAAGCGUGGGGAGCAAACAG
rnacentral:rRNA from 1 species